AGUCCUAUGGUGUAGCGGCUAUCACGUUCGCCUCACACUUCAGUGCGCGAAAGGUCCUGGGUUCGAUCCCCAGUGGGACUA